rnacentral:rRNA from 1 species
CCCAGACUCCUACGGGAGGCAGCAGUGGGGAAUAUUGCACAAUGGGGGGAACCCUGAUGCAGCGACGCCGCGUGGGUGAAGGAGCGUUUCGGCGCGUAAAGCCCUAUCGGCAGGGAAGAAGGAGGACGGUACCUGACUAAGAAGCCCCGGCUAACUACGUGCCAGCAGCCGCGGUAAUACGUAGGGGGCAAGCGUUAUCCGGAUUUACUGGGUGUAAAGGGGGCGCAGACGGCAGCGCAAGCCAGGAGUGAAAGCCCGGGGCCCAACCCCGGGACUGCUCUUGGAACUGCGCGGCUGGAGUGCAGGAGGGGCAGGCGGAAUUCCUGGUGUAGCGGUGAAAUGCGUAGAUAUCAGGAGGAACACCGGUGGCGAAGGCGGCCUGCUGGACUGCGACUGACGUUGAGGCCCGAAAGCGUGGGGAGCAAACAGGAUUAGAUACCCGAGUAC